rnacentral:lncRNA from 1 species
GUUGGUUUACUAGAACUCUUGACAAAAAAUCUACCAACGUAUCUAGAUAAAGAACAAAGAUGUAUAUAUAUUACUCAAAGACCCCAAUGUAGGGUUAAAAUCUACCAACUAUGGUUAAAAGCCCAAUCCAUAUGUAUGUAAUGAUUUGAAAGACCAAAAAAGUAGGCCUGUAAAUGAACCGAACAAACACGAACAGAGGCAUGUUUGUGUUCGUUCUUUUAACUUUAACCGAACACGAACAUAUAAUCCAACACAUUUUU